CUACCACACGGCGGCCGCGGCCAGGACUGAGCUCGGCUUCGCGGGCACGGGGGUGUUCUCGUGACGUGUGCUGGGGACCCGCGGGUACCGGAGCUGUGGAGGGAAGAGCAUCCCCUUCCCCUCCCGCCUCCGCUGGAUAGAACCGUCUAAGCAGCCUUCGUGCCUUCCCCGGGACGCCUUUCCGGGCCGCAGGAGGAGGUAGAGCCCGAGGAACCUCCGGUUUGUAGGCAGCACGGAGAGUUCUCAGUGCAUGGCAGGAGGAACGAGGGACAGCCAGCUCCGUAGCCGCGAUAAACAGCUGCGGUUGGUGCUGAGGCGCUCCUGGCCUCCUCAGCGCGGGAACGAGCUAUUCCUCCUGACUUUCAGGAUCAGUGCAAGUCUCACACGUCUGUAGAAGUAGCACCGAUGGCAGGCAACAUUUAAACUUAAAAACAAACAACAAAAACAGCAACAUAAUCUCCACUUGGAAAUCUGUUAAGUCAGUGUGGACAAGAAUAUUUACAUUUUAGGUACCAGAGGUACUUAAAGCAGCUCUUACUGCACCCGAGAAGAUGGCGGCACUGAGUGAAUGUGAGGAUGAAAGUUGAUGAAAUUCACCACUUGUUUCUUUACAAACUGCUUUUCUGACCAAACAUGCAGCUGCAGUACUAUUUCAUUUUGAUGAACUGGUUCCUAAGGACAUGUUUUUACUGUGGUCAGCUUACUUCCCAGCUGAGCUUUGUACACACAUGCAGCACCUUGCUGUCAGUAUUUUUGAACCCAUUUAUUCUUAAGCAAAUUUUCUGACUAAAGUCGUUGCAUUUUGAUCUAAAUCUUCUACAGAAUGCCAAACCUAAUGAAAUGGACAGCACUGUAGAUUAAGAUGAUUCCUAGCUUCCCCUGGUGACUUUUUCUUAUCACAUUAGGAGUAAUAAUCAUCUUCAAGCACAUCCAUUGCCUUUACUGCUGUAAACCAUACUGCUGUCAUUGCCUGCAGCAUUUCUGUAGGAGCAGGUCAGUUGCAGCACAGCAUUGUACCCCAGCUGGUGCAGGUUACCAUUAUGAUGGUCUGUUUCCUCACAGUUUCCAAUGUACUAGACAUUUCUGUUUUGGAGUAUGCACAUUUGCACUCCCCUGUCAAAGCCUGCUGAGGACAACUACUACAAGCUUCUCAUAAUCCUGUGGUCCAGCCAACUGUCCUAUACAGGAAUCGGCACAGAAAGAGCAUGAGGUCUGUAUGCGCAUCCACAAAAGGAAGAGCAUAUGAGGUCAAAAUGCCAUCUCUGAAGGACUGCCAGAAGUUCAAAUGCAAAGUGAUGACAAACAAUGAAUGUCAGGAUUUUUCAGCAAUACUGUGAUAAGUAGAAGAUGGAUAAAUUCAUCCAUUCCAGGCCAAUCAGAAGGAAGAAACAGGAUUGCAGGCAUGCCUACUGAAAUCACUCAACCAAUUGAAGAAACAGAAUGAGAUCUGGAUUAUAGGGUUUCAGAUAAUACCAAGUCCCUUGUGAAAGCUCUCCAUCUGCUUUUCAAAUUUAAAUUUUAAAGUCUGCAUUUUCCACUCCGGGUGCUGAGCCUGUAGAGAUGUAAAACAUUACAAAG
ensembl:lncRNA